UCAAGACUAAGCCAUGCAUGUCCAAGUAUGAACGAUUCUGUACUGUGAAACUGCGAAUGGCUCAUUAAAUCAGUUAUAGUUUAUUUGAUGGUUCCUUACUACUUGGAUAACCGUGGUAAUUCUAGAGCUAAUACAUGCAGAAAGUCCCGACUGUCUCGGAAGGGAUGUAUUUAUUAGAUCCAAAACCAGCGCGAGUUCUCUCGGGGACUCGGUUGCUCGGUGAUUCAUGAUAACUGGUCGAAUCGCAGGGCCCUAGUGCCGGCGAUGAUCCAUUCAAAUUUCUGCCCUAUCAACUUUCGAUGGUACGGUAGUGGCCUACCAUGGUUGCAACGGGUGACGGAGAAUUAGGGUUCGAUUCCGGAGAGGGAGCCUGAGAAACGGCUACCACAUCCAAGGAAGGCAGCAGGCGCGCAAAUUACCCAAUCCCGGCUCGGGGAGGUAGUGACAAUAAAUAACAAUGCUGGGCCAAUUCGGUCUGGCAAUUGGAAUGAGUACAACCCAAACCCCUUAACGAGGAACAAUUGGAGGGCAAGUCUGGUGCCAGCAGCCGCGGUAAUUCCAGCUCCAAUAGCGUAUAUUAAAGUUGUUGCAGUUAAAAAGCUCGUAGUUGGAUUUCGGGGCGGCUCGGUCGGUCCGCCGCGAGGCGUGCACUGGUCGGGCGCCCUUCCUCUCGGAGGCCACGGCUGCUCUUCGUUGCAGCGGUCGUGGAGUUCGGGACGUUUACUUUGAAAAAAUUAGAGUGUUCAAGGCAGGCAGCCGCCUGAAUACAUUAGCAUGGAAUAAUGGAAGAGGACCUCGGUCCUAUUUUGUUGGUUUCCAGGGCCGAAGUAAUGAUUAAGAGGGACAGUUGGGGGCAUUCGUAUUUAAUUGUCAGAGGUGAAAUUCUCGGAUUUAUGAAAGACGAACAACUGCGAAAGCAUUUGCCAAGGAUGUUUUCAUUAAUCAAGAACGAAAGUUGGGGGUUCGA
rnacentral:rRNA from 1 species